CAGGAAAAAAAUACAAGCCCAUUUGAAGACUCUGAGGGAAGAGAGAGAAAAGCUGCUGGGAUUUAAAGUGACUGGAGAGAAGAGAAGCCAGGAGUAUCUGGUUUGACCUGUAGUACUGCUAUCUGACUCCGGCUUGACCCUUCGUGUGGCUGCAUGACUCGGACUCCAGUCCUGAUCCCCCGUGUGACUCCAGACACUGAUUCUGGCUCAGCCUUUGGUAUGACUCCUGAGCUUGACUGUAGCCCCAACACUUGGUGAGAUCCUGACUUUGACUCCAGCUCUGACUUUGUAAACAGACCAAAACCGAGAGGCAGAAGAUUGUGUCUGAAUUUCAGCAACUGCGGCAGUUCCUGGUGGAACAAGAGCGACUCCUGCUGGCCCAGCUGGACAAGCUUAAUGAGGAGAUUGUGAAGAUACAGA